UGGUAAAGCAAUCUGACUGAAACAGCUGUCACCCCACUGAUCACCUGAGUUGAUCUGGCUGGCGAGGCAGGUGUCCCCUUCCUCCCUCAAUGCUCCAGGUGUAUCCUUCUUGCAGCUGUGCACCUGUGCACUCAGUCUAAGAGGAUGACCUUCCCCAAUACAGAACUCCAGACUCAAAAAUAAAAUAACUGAACACACACCUACACAUACAUAAACACAAAUGUUGUGCAUGUGUAUUUAU
rnacentral:snRNA from 1 species